rnacentral:rRNA from 1 species
UACGUAGGUGACAAGCGUUGUCCGGAUUUACUGGGCGUAAAGAGCGCGCAGGCGGUCGUUCAAGUCGAGUGUGAAAGCCCCCGGCUCAACUGGGGAGGGUCAUUCGAUACUGAUCGACUCGAAGGCAGGAGAGGGUAGUGGAAUUCCCGGUGUAGUGGUGAAAUGCGUAGAUAUCGGGAGGAACACCAGUGGCGAGGGCGACUACCUGGCCUGUUCUUGACGCUGAGGCGCGAAAGCUAGGGGAGCAAACGGG